rnacentral:tRNA from 2 species
GCCCCUAUAGCUCAGCUGGUAGAGCAACUGAUUUGUAAUCAGUAGGUCGGCGGUUCGAAUCCGUCUGGGGGCACCA